CAAGUCGAACGAGAAAGUCCCCUUCGGGGGAUAAGUAAAGUGGCGCACGGGUGAGUAACACGUAGGUAAUCUACCUUCGGGUGGGGAAUAACCCAGGGAAACUUGGGCUAACACCGCAUAAUGCAGCGGCACCACAUGGUGACAGUUGUUAAAGCGGGGGAUUUUCGGACCUCGCGCCUGAAGAGGAGCCUGCGGCGGAUUAGCUAGUUGGUAAGGUAACGGCUUACCAAGGCAACGAUCCGUAGCCGGCCUGAGAGGGCGGUCGGCCACACUGACACUGACAUACGGGUCAGACUCCUACGGGAGGCAGCAGUCGGGAAUUUUGGGCAAUGGGCGAAAGCCUGACCCAGCAACGCCGCGUGAAGGAUGAAAUCCCUCGGGAUGUAAACUUCGCAAGAAUAGGAAGAAUUAGUAGGGGCUAAUACCCCCUAUGAUGACGGUACUAUUUGUAAGCUCCGGCUAACUCCGUGCCAGCAGCCGCGGUAAUACGGGGGGAGCAAGCGUUGUUCGGAUUUACUGGGCGUAAAGGGCGCGUAGGCGGUCAGCACAAGUCAGUUGUGAAAUCUCCGGGCUUAACUCGGAAAGGUCAACUGAUACUGUGCGACUAGAGUGCGGAAGGGGCAACUGGAAUUCUCGGUGUAGCGGUGAAAUGCGUAGAUAUCGAGAGGAACACCUGCGGCGAAGGCGGGUUGCUGGGCCGACACUGACGCUGAUGCGCGAAAGCCAGGGGAGCGAACGGGAUUAGAUACCCCGGUAGUCCUGGCCUUAAACGAUGGAUGCUUGGUGUCUGGGGUUUUAUAGUCCCCGGGUGCCGUAGCUAACGCGUUAAGCAUCCCGCCUGGGGAGUACGGUCGCAAGACUGAAACUCAAAGGAAUUGACGGGGACCGCACAAGCGGUGGAGCAUGUGGUUCAUUCGACGCACGCGA
rnacentral:rRNA from 1 species